AACAUACAUGGAAAAACAUGCAAAGAAAGGCUGGACAGGGCACCUUCGGCGGCACAUUCGGCGGCCGAAUGUUCCCUCCAGAGCCGAAACUCAUGCAUGUUCGGCGGCACCUUCGGCUGCCGAAAGUCUCCUCCAGAGAUGAAAGCCAGGCACUUUCGGUGGCACCUUCGGCUGCCGAAAGUCCUUUCCAGAGCCGAAAGUCCAAAUGUUCGGG
rnacentral:lncRNA from 1 species